UGCGUAGGCGGAUUGGAAAGUUGGGGGUGAAAUCCCAGGGCUCAACCCUGGAACUGCCUCCAAAACUAUCAGUCUAGAGUUCGAGAGAGGUGAGUGGAAUUCCAAGUGUAGAGGUGAAAUUCGUAGAUAUUUGGAGGAACACCAGUGGCGAAGGCGGCUCACUGGCUCGAUACUGACGCUGAGGUACGAAAGUGUGGGGAGCAAACAGGAUUAGAUACCCUGGUAGUCC
rnacentral:rRNA from 1 species